GACGAACGCUGGCGGCGUGCUUAACACAUGCAAGUCGAACGGAAAGGCCCUGCUUUUGUGGGGUGCUCGAGUGGCGAACGGGUGAGUAACACGUGAGUAACCUGCCCUUGACUUUGGGAUAACUUCAGGAAACUGGGGCUAAUACCGGAUAGGAGCUCCUGCUGCAUGGUGGGGGUUGGAAAGUUUCGGCGGGUGGGGAUGGACUCGCGGCUUAUCAGCUUGUUGGUGGGGUAGUGGCUUACCAAGGCUUUGACGGGUAGCCGGCCUGAGAGGGUGACCGGCCACAUUGGGACUGAGAUACGGCGCAGACUCCUACGGGGGGCAGCAGUGGGGAAUAUUGCACAAUGGGCGGAAGCCUGAUGCAGCAACGCCGCGUGCGGGAUGACGGCCUUCGGGUUGUAAACCGCUUUCGCCUGUGACGAAGCGUGAGUGACGGUAAUGGGUAAAGAAGCACCGGCUAACUACGUG
rnacentral:rRNA from 1 species